AUUGAACGCUAGCGGCAUGCCUUACACAUGCAAGUCGAACGAGUGGCGAACGCGUGAGUAAUGUCUCGGACCGUGCCCCGUCGUGGGGGAUAACUACCCGCAACGUAGCUAUUACCUCAUACUCUUGGCGCGGCCUAUAUCGGAUUAGCUAGUUGGGUGGGUAACGGCUUACCAAGGCGACGAUCCGUAGCUGGUUUGAGAGGACGACCAUCCACACUGGAACUGAGAGACGGGCCAGACUCCGACGGGAGGCAGCAGUGGGGAAUUUUGGACAAUGGGGGCAACCCUGAUCCAGCCAUACCGCGUGUGCGAUGAAGGCCUUCGGGGUGUAAAGCACUUUGGGCAGGAAAGCGGUACCUGAAGAAUAAGCACCGGCUAACUACGUGCCAGCAGCCGCGGUAAUAC
rnacentral:rRNA from 1 species